AGAGUUUGAUCCUGGCUCAGGAUGAACGCUGGCGGCGUGCCUAACACAUGCAAGUCGAACGAAGCUUGACGGAUGAUUUCUUCGGAAUGAAACCAGAUAUGACUUAGUGGCGGACGGGUGAGUAACACGUGAGCAACCUGCCUUUCAGAGGGGGAUAACGGCUGGAAACGGUCGCUAAUACCGCAUGAUGUGUUCGGAUGGCAUCAUCUGAACAUCAAAGAUUUAUCGCUGAAAGAUGGGCUCGCGUCUGAUUAGAUAGUUGGUGGGGUAACGGCCUACCAAGUCGACGAUCAGUAGCCGGACUGAGAGGUUGAACGGCCACAUUGGGACUGAGAUACGGCCCAGACUCCUACGGGAGGCAGCAGUGGGGAAUAUUGCACAAUGGGGGAAACCCUGAUGCAGCAACGCCGCGUGAGUGAAGAAGUAUUUCGGUAUGUAAAGCUCUAUCAGCAGGGAAGAAAAUGACGGUACCUGACUAAGAAGCCCCGGCUAACUACGUGCCAGCAGCCGCGGUAAUACGUAGGGGGCAAGCGUUAUCCGGAUUUACUGGGUGUAAAGGGAGCGUAGACGGCAAGGCAAGUCUGAUGUGAAAACCCAGGGCUUAACCCUGGGACUGCAUUGGAAACUGUCUGGCUCGAGUGCCGGAGAGGUAAGCGGAAUUCCUAGUGUAGCGGUGAAAUGCGUAGAUAUUAGGAGGAACACCAGUGGCGAAGGCGGAUUGCUGGACGAUAACUGACGGUGAGGCGCGAAAGUGUGGGGAGCAAACAGGAUUAGAUACCCUGGUAGUCCACACUGUAAACGAUGAUAGCUAGGUGUGGGGGGUCUGACCCCUUCCGUGCCGGAGUUAACGCAAUAAGCUAUCCACCUGGGGAGUACGACCGCAAGGUUGAAACUCAAAGGAAUUGACGGGGGCCCGCACAAGCAGUGGAUUAUGUGGUUUAAUUCGAAGCAACGCGAAGAACCUUACCAGGUCUUGACAUCCGACUAACGAGAUAGAGAUAUGUCAGGUGCCCUUCGGGGAAAGUCGAGACAGGUGGUGCAUGGUUGUCGUCAGCUCGUGUCGUGAGAUGUUGGGUUAAGUCCCGCAACGAGCGCAACCCCUGCCAUUAGUUGCUACGCAAGAGCACUCUAAUGGGACCGCUACCGACAAGGUGGAGGAAGGUGGGGACGACGUCAAAUCAUCAUGCCCCUUAUGACCUGGGCUACACACGUACUACAAUGGAUGUUAACAGAGGGAAGCAAGACAGCGAUGUGGAGCAAACCCCUAAAAACAUUCUCAGUUCAGAUUGCAGGCUGCAACCCGCCUGCAUGAAGAUGGAAUUGCUAGUAAUCGCGGAUCAGCAUGCCGCGGUGAAUACGUUCCCGGGCCUUGUACACACCGCCCGUCACACCAUGGGAGUUUGUAACACCCGAAGUCAGUGACCCAACCGCAAGGAGGGAGCUGCCGAAGGUGGGAUAAGCGACUGGGGUGAAGUCGUAACAAGGUAGCCGUAGGAGAACCUGCGGCUG
rnacentral:rRNA from 1 species